rfam:Xenopus laevis strain J chromosome 5L, whole genome shotgun sequence.
AUUCCCAUUUUAGUACCGCUUUUUUCGUUUCUCCAAAUAAGCGGCUAUGCUAAUGGGAAAGAAUAAGCUCUCUGCUAUAGUCUGAAGGGGAAUGUGAAAUGUAUGUAACUUCUUCUACAUGAAAUGGCAGAACAGAAAUGG